CUUGAACCUUAUAAGAGGUAACGCCUGCCCAGUGAUUUAAUAUUUAACGGCCGCGGUAUUCUGACCGUGCAAAGGUAGCGUAAUCAUUUGUCUUUUAAAUAAAGACUAGUAUGAAUGGCAUCACGAGGACUUAACUGUCUCCCUAAUUUAAUCAGUGAAACUGAUCUUCCUGUGAAAAAGCAGGAAUAACUUAAUAAGACGAGAAGACCCUAUGGAGCUUAAAAUCUAUAUCUACCUAUAUUUUCUGUUAAUAAAAUACCACUAAUUUAUAGACUUAGAUAAAGUUUUUGGUUGGGGCGACAAUGGAGAACAACUUAUCCUCCAUGAAGAAAAACUUUGAGUUACCACUCUUAGUAGUAGCAAGCCUAACUUAAAUUGAUCCAAAUUUUUUGAUCAACGGAA
rnacentral:rRNA from 1 species